GAACCUUACCUGGCCUUGACAUACUAAGAACUUUCCAGAGAUGGAUUGGUGCCUUCGGGAACUUAGAUACAGGUGCUGCAUGGCUGUCGUCAGCUCGUGUCGUGAGAUGUUGGGUUAAGUCCCGCAACGAGCGCAACCCUUUUCCUUAUUUGCCAGCGGGUUAAGCCGGGAACUUUAAGGAUACUGCCAGUGACAAACUGGAGGAAGGCGGGGACGACGUCAAGUCAUCAUGGCCCUUACGGCCAGGGCUACACACGUGCUACAAUGGUCGGUACAAAGGGUUGCUACCUCGCGAGAGGAUGCUAAUCUCAAAAAGCCGAUCGUAGUCCGGACCGCAGUCUGCAACUCGACUGCGUGAAGUCGGAAUCGCUAGUAAUCGCGGAUCAGAAUGCCGCGGUGAAUACGUUCCCGGGCCUUGUACACACCGCCCGUCACACCAUGGGAGUUUGUUGCACCAGAAGUAGGUAGUCUAACCGCAAGGAGGACGCUUACCACGGUGUGGCCGAUGACUGGGGUGAAGUCGUAACAAGGUAGGCGUAGAUGA
rnacentral:rRNA from 1 species